UACGGAAGGCAGCAGUAGGGAAUCUUCCGCAAUGGACGAAAGUCUGACGGAGCAACGCCGCGUGAACGAUGAAGGCUUUCGGGUCGUAAAGUUCUGUUGUUAGGGAAGAACAAGUACCGGAGUAACUGCCGGUACCUUGACGGUACCUAACCAGAAAGCCACGGCUAACUACGUGCCAGCAGCCGCGGUAAUACGUAGGUGGCAAGCGUUGUCCGGAAUUAUUGGGCGUAAAGCGCGCGCAGGCGGUCCUUUAAGUCUGAUGUGAAAGCCCACGGCUCAACCGUGGAGGGUCAUUGGAAACUGGGGGACUUGAGUGCAGAAGAGGAGAGUGGAAUUCCACGUGUAGCGGUGAAAUGCGUAGAGAUGUGGAGGAACACCAGUGGCGAAGGCGACUCUCUGGUCUGUAACUGACGCUGAGGCGCGAAAGCGUGGGGAGCGAACAGGGAUUAGACUA
rnacentral:rRNA from 1 species